rnacentral:rRNA from 1 species
GACAGAAGAAGCACCGGGCUAACUCCGUGCCAGCAGCCGCGGUAAUACGGAGGGUGCGAGCGUUAAUCUGGAAUUUACUGGGCGUAAAGCGCAUGCAGGUGGUUUGUUUAAGUCAGAUGUGAAAGCCCGGGGCUCAACCUCGGAAUAGCAUUUGAAACUGGCAGACUAGAGUACUGUAGAGGGGGGUAGAAUUUCAGGUGUAGCGGUGAAAUGCGUAGAGAUCUGAAGGAAUACCGGUGGCGAAGGCGGCCCCCUGGACAGAUACUGACACUCAGAUGCGAAAGCGUGGGGAGCAAACAGGAUUAGAUACCCUGGUAGUCCACGCCGUAAACGAUGUCUACUUGGAGGUUGUGGCCUUGAGCCGUGGCUUUCGGAGCUAACGCGUUAAGUAGACCGCCUGGGGAGUACGGUCGCAAGAUUAAAACUCAAAUGAAUUGACGGGGGCCCGCACAAGCGGUGGAGCAUGUGGUUUAAUUCGAUGCAACGCGAAGAACCUUACCUACUCUUGACAUCCAGAGAACUUUCCAGAGAUGGAUUGGUGCCUUCGGGAACUUUGAGACAGGUGCUGCAUGGCUGUCGUCAGCUCGUGUUGUGAAAUGUUGGGUUAAGUCCCGCAACGAGCGCAACCCUUAUCCUUGUUUGCCAGCGAGUAAUGUCGGGAACUCCAGGGAGACUGCCGGUGAUAAACCGGAGGAAGGUGGGGACGACGUCAAGUCAUCAUGGCCCUUACGAGUAGGGCUACACACGUGCUACAAUGGCGCAUACAGAGGGCGGCCAACUUGCGAAAGUGAGCGAAUCCCAAAAAGUGCGUCGUAGUCCGGAUUGGAGUCUGCAACUCGACUCCAUGAAGUCGGAAUCGCUAGUAAUCGUGGAUCAGAAUGCCACGGUGAAUACGUUCCCGGGCCUUGUACACACCGCCCGUCACGACCAUGGGAGUGGGCUGCAAAAGAAGUAGGUAGU